CGUAUCAUUAUGAAAAAAAUUUUUUGGAUCACAAACGCUCUUUGCCUCUUUAUUUCAAGCGUCUUCGCUUCGGCUUCCCCUUUUCUAUCCCUUCCGGGCAAGAAGUCACCCAAAAUCUUUCUCUUCGGCUUCGCCUCUCAAAUCCCUUCAAAGCCAGAGGAUAUCCUCAUCCUCCUUCUAACUGUCGUGCUUGAAAGCAAAGAUGGGUUCACGAGCCAAUAGAAUCAAGCAAAAACUGCAAUCUGCCUUGGAAGCCUGUACUUUAGAAAUUCAAGAUGUUUCUUAUCAGCAUGCCGGUCAUGCAGGUGUCAAAGGGGAUGCAAAGGAGACCCAUUUUAACAUCAAAGUGGUUUCUCCAAAGUUUAUCGGGCAGAGCCUUAUAAAACGCCACCGAAUGGUAUAUGAUCUGUUAGCCGAUGAGCUGAAAUCUGGACUCCAUGCUGUUUCAAUUGUUGCAAAAACCCCAGAAGAAUCAGGAUCUGCCAAUGUCUAAUUUUACAUGUUUUAAAUCAGGGAUCUGAAAGGAGUAAGUUUUGGAUGGUAUUGUUUAUAUCCGUGAGCUGAACACUCUACAAUUUAAAUUAAGCUGUGCUCUACAUGUUAAAUGCUUUAUUAGAACUUCCUCUUGAUUUAGUAUAAUGGUGUCUUUAGCUGCCUUAUUCAGCAAUUUGUAAAAUAAUAUUGUUGUUUGUGGUCACUAUAUUCAUGCACUGACUAUUGCUCUUUGAGAUUCAUUAGGAACAUGCUGAAGCAUGAAACUACCUUCUGAUUAUUUUAAGUUUAUCCACUAUAAAGAUUGCUAAUUGUUAGAAGAUUAGGUUGUAAUUGUAUUAUCUAUCUACCUUUACUAAAUUGAGUAGGAAACCUGAUAUGUGACUUCAUGAAAGAACACCAGUUAUUUCCUUAGAGUGAACAUUGUAAGUUACUUUGGUUAGCCGAGGCAUAUUUGUAAUUACAUUGGAACUUGGUAGUCUCGGAUAGCAACAAAAAAGAAAUAAAAAUCUUCCUUGCUAGAGAACUUCACAGAAAAAUGUCUCACCUGGAGAUCCCAACUUAUUCUAACCGUGUGGUGUAACUACCAAAAUCAAACAAAGCUAACAUUCAAACGUAGUCAUCCUCAAAGUCAAUCAAAAUACCAUUAAUAUUUAUAAUCCAUGAUAGCUUCUUCAGGGAAGUUAUAUUGGACCGCUGAAGUAAUUAUUUCUCCAUUUCAAAGUAUAACUUCUGAAUCUUCAUCAUUUUGGUAGAUAGUCUUUGAGAAAUUGCAUGGUGGAAAUGUGGUAAGAAGAUGAAAGUAUCUUCCUAGUCCUUACUAUACAAAAAUAUUGGGAUUACUUUUCUUAUGUGUCAAAAGCCUUCAUAUAAAUAGAUGGGAGGAUGCUGCUAGUUGCACAACCUUGAGGAGGUGGAGCUGUUCCUUGAGACUGAAUCUGAUUUGUGAAAAAGAGAAGUUUUGUUAAGAUUUCUUGGAGUGUUCAUGUUAGUAGGAGGCCGGAAUGCCCAGACAAUCAUCAUUCAUGCAUAUGUUUGAUUUGAGGUGACCUAAAGUUUAUGUCUGUAGAUUUUUGGACUAGUAUUGUUCAUGAAAAUAAAGUUGGAUUGGCAUGGUCAUCAUAUGCACCCAUAAGAUCAGUGAUGGAUCCCAGUCUAUACAAUCUCAAGGCCAUUGGCUUGCCAAUAGUUGGUUUUCAUAUCCCAGAGGACUGGCUGGAGCAACUUGCAACUGCCUUCGAAUGGGAGAUAAGGAGAAAGUUUUUGAAGAGAUCAAUAGAGAGUUAUAUAAGAAAGAGAUAAUCUAAAUCAGAUUAUAAUUUUUUUUUUUAAAAAAAAAAGAGUGCUGUUUCAAGAGGCCAUGCAUGAAGAUUGGAACACCUGAGUAUGGGUAUUCACACAAGGAAAAGUGUUAAACAUGCCAAGUCAGUAAUUUUUUCAUUCAUUUUAGUUGACAAUCACAACGGGAUCCAGUUUGGAUUGCUUUAAAUUAAGGACUCGGAUAAGUUAAGGUCCUAUAUAUGUUAGAGUCAUAUACCCCUAUUUUUCGAAUUUAUACGGAUCUCCACGAUCUUCGUAAAAUAUAUCUUAGUGCUUUGUUCCCUGGUGCAGAUUUCUGUUUUUUGUUUCUCAUUUUAUCUCUACAUGUUUGAGGUUGUUUUAUAAUCUGAAUGGCCAUUGAGAAUAGCAUCAUUCCAUUGUCUGUCUCAUAUUUUUGAUUCUUUCAUCUAUAGGAAAGAGCUUAAAUAAUACGCUCAUCGAAAAAAUGUUGGUGUAGCUUAUGUUCAUUGAUUGCUUCAAAGCCAUAUAUGAAUGUUGUCAGAGGUCAAGUUAUUUUAUGCACUUCUCAUCCUAAAGAUACAUUCUUGGAUCCUUAGCUAAGCUACAGUUUCUAGUGUAGGAUCAUCUACAUCUGGGAUGUCCUUUUAAGAGUCGCACCAUAAAUGUAAUAUAUGCCAGGUAUAUCAGGCCAGAUAUUUGCCUGAUGCUGCUUUAAGUGUUCUUGUCAUACAUCUAUUUCAUGGUGAUGUGUCUUGGAAUGGCUUCAAUUCUUUGUUUGCUUGUCUCAGGGCUUAAUGGGUAUUUAGUUCAUUCUCACAGGCUUCAAAUUUCAUCAAUGUUCUGGCACUGAUACUUGAAAGUUCUGCUGCUUGAGAAAUAUUCUCAGGAUCCUUCUUGGAGUAUGGUUCCAUCCGAAGAAGCCUCUGAAAGAGUGAUUGCUUCAGUCCAUUCCACCUUGCUAUAUCUGAUCGUACCCAAGCUGGAAUAUCAUUUGAUGAACCUGUGAUCACGAUCACUGUCUCGUUGUUUACCAGAUUAGCGAGAGCCACUAUCGUUUCGGGCUCCGUAGCGGAAGAAGCAUCAACCAAGAAGAUGUGAGUAAAAUGGUUAGCUUCAAUUCCAGCAGCGUGAAGCCUAAAGCUAUUCACAAAGGUAGAUGUUAUGACCUUGAACUGCUGGAGCUCAGAAGGUGGAGGGCAAGUGAAGCACUCUCCUUCGUACAAGCAUGCUGGGAUAAU